rnacentral:lncRNA from 1 species
UAGGCAGGACAUGGCUAGAAUGCAGGUUUCCGAGGACAUGACCCUUGAUAGGAAAGUCUGGAGGUCUAGAAUCAGGGUUGUAGGAUAGGGGCUUCUAGAGUUUUUCGUACGCCUCAUCCGGGGUUGGGUGUGGGUCAGCAGGGUUACCCAUAGAUGAUUUGUGUUUUAGAUGAUUAUUUACGUUAUUUACGCUAUUUCUGCUGUUUUGUCAAUGUUUUUGUUUUACUGCUGUUUUUCCUUUUAUCCUAUGAGCCGGGGGUCGAUUGGAAAUAGC